rnacentral:rRNA from 1 species
UGGGGAGCAAACAGGAUUAGAUACCCUGGUAGUCCACGCCGUAAACGAUGUCGACUUGGAGGUUGUGCCCUUGAGGCGUGGCUUCCGGAGCUAACGCGUUAAGUCGACCGCCUGGGGAGUACGGCCGCAAGGUUAAAACUCAAAUGAAUUGACGGGGGCCCGCACAAGCGGUGGAGCAUGUGGUUUAAUUCGAUGCAACGCGAAGAACCUUACCUGGUCUUGACAUCCACGGAACUUUCCAGAGAUGAGAAGGUGCCUUCGGGAACCGUGAGACAGGUGCUGCAUGGCUGUCGUCAGCUCGUGUUGUGAAAUGUUGGGUUAAGUCCCGCAACGAGCGCAACCCUUAUCCUUUGUUGCCAGCGGUCCGGCCGGGAACUCAAAGGAGACUGCCAGUGAUAAACUGGAGGAAGGUGGGGAUGACGUCAAGUCAUCAUGGCCCUUACGACCAGGGCUACACACGUGCUACAAUGGCGCAUACAAAGAGAAGCGACCUCGCGAGAGCAAGCGGACCUCAUAAAGUGCGUCGUAGUCCGGAUUGGAGUCUGCAACUCGACUCCAUGAAGUCGGAAUCGCUAGUAAUCGUGGAUCAGAAUGCCACGGUGAAUACGUUCCCGGGCCUUGUACACACCGCCCGUCACACCAUGGGAGUGGGUUGCAAAAGAAGUAGGUAGC